AACACAGAAAACGACGGCGGUUCGAUCCCUCUUUUCCUCUUCCCUUUUUGGAUGCCACGAUGCCUAUCAAGACACAUCUCUCCACCCAAUUUCAUCUUUAGAAACCCUAACGGCUUUCAGAGAGAGCGAGAGACGGCAGGUGGUACGGCACCACCACCGGAAACACCGCCAUCAUCUCCAAUCGCACCAGCACAGCUAAUUAUGUGUCGUUCCAUCGUCUUCUUCGUGCUAUGCUCUUUCUCUGUUUCUACUUUUCAUGUUCAGGGUUCCAGCGAACUUAUUCAAGGUGUAUGUAUGUAAUCUGAGUAGAUCAGUCUUUACCUACGGCAACUGAGAGACACUAGGAUGGUUCUUCUGAAUUCCGGCAACCUUUGGAUAUCGAAUGGUUUUGUGAGAUGAUGUUGAGCAGCAAAUGACGAUGGUGAUAGUUCAAAUGGUACAUCAGGGGCUGCUAUAGAUAGUUUCAGAUCAUGGCCAACCUCAUUCAACACGAACAGAUCAUAACUCUGAGCACAUGAACGGCAAGGGGUGAGCGGUCGAAUCUAAUAACAUCCAUACGGGCGGGGUUUCAACUAGGAGGCAUUUGGAGAUUGAAGAUAUAAUAGCACAAUGGCAGAAUAUGAUUUAGUAUUUGGAUUUUGGAGAGAGAGAGAUGAGGAGAGAGAGCUUAAAAAGGGUCGCUGGCCAGAUCAAUAAGAGUGUGAGGAGGUGCUUUUACCUCCAUCGUCACUGCAAUCGCUAAAGCUCGCCAGAUCCAAAACACCCUCAUCGAACACUAGGGUUCAAAAUUGCCUUAAAUCGAAGGCCCAUCGGGAUUACGAAUGAUGAAAUCAGAAAUGCUCUUCAAACGAUGAUAAGUGGAAAUUGAUGAUGGUAGGUUGUAAGGAUGUCGGCAAUCUGCUUAUUGACCGGAGGUGGUUUUCCAGCAGAUAGAGUAAUUCUAAGAAGAAAUAGAGAGAGAGGGGUCGCGCUAGCGGUUACCGGAGGGUGGAGGCAAUCUUUUGCGUAGAUCGGUUUAUCCAAGGAGAGUAUAGAAGACUCAGUACCAUUUGAUGGAUAGUUUUUCAACCUGUUCUCUUCACAGAGCCAUUUAAACCAGCGUUUGUUCCCGAUAGCAACACCAACACUAUUGUCCGCCACCACCAACCUGUGCCACCGAUCACCAUUGUUGUCGUCUCCGGUAGCCGUUGUAAACAACCCAACCCCAUGACCCCUCACCACUACUGCCUACUAUCUCCGUCACCUCCUUCGUAAGCGGGACAAGAAGAGGCAGCCAUGUGGAUACGCUCACAAGCGUAUCCAGUAUAACCGCCAUUUCGUCACCGCCGUGAAUGUAACAGAUGCACUGUCUUUUGUUGAUUGAAGAAUUUUAAUCGAGUACAACUUAGUUGUUUUGAAAAUUAAUCAGGUAAAGUUCACGGAUCAUUGGUGCAUGCGGGCAAGGUGAGAGGCUAAACCCAAAGGUCGCCAAGCAGGACAAGAAGAAGCAGCCUUGCAGACGCGCUCACAAGCGUAUCCAGUACAACUGUCGUUUGUCAUGGCAAUGUUAAUUCUCUCAUUCCUUAAUUUAUUUGUUUUCAAGAUAACACAAUUAGAAUGAGUUACCUGCCCAGCAACCGGCACUAAAACCAAGAGUAAUAACUACCCAGCAACCGGGAUGGAGUGGAAUCUAAAUUUAAUUUUAAAAGUUUUUGGUUCUCCCAUAAUUUGUUAGAAUUAGAAUCCAAAUUUCGUUUGUUUGGUUGAGAAAUGAUAUUGAAAUGUAUUCACUUAAUGGUGA